rnacentral:rRNA from 1 species
UACAGAGGUGGCAAGCGUUGUUCGGAAUUACUGGGCGUAAAGGGCGCGUAGGCGGUUCGAUAAGUCCUGUGUGAAAUCCCUCGGCUCAACUGAGGAACUGCACGGGAGACUGUCGGGCUUGAGUUCGGGAGAGGGAAGCGGAAUUCCGGGUGUAGCGGUGAAAUGCGUAGAUAUCCGGAGGAACACCGGUGGCGAAGGCGGCUUCCUGGUCCAGCACCGACGUUCAGGCACGAAAGCGUGGGGAGCAAACAGG